rnacentral:lncRNA from 1 species
UGCCUCCCUCUGGCCUCUGAGAUGACUGCCACAGUUCAUCUCUGCUGCCUAUACAUCAUGCAAGAGGCACCAUGUCACACCUAGCCCCCCUCCGCCGCUGCCCUUAGCCCACUCAAGCGGUUCCUGCCCACCCAUAGCCUGCACAAGAAGCACCCAGUCUCCCAUGGCCUGAGCUAGUGGCUUCUCACCACCUGUAGCCUGCAGCAGAGGUGCCCUGCCCUCUGAGGCCCAUGCUGGGAUAUUCCUAUGGUGUUCCACCCCUCCUCCUCUCACCCUCCCCAACAGUGGCUCCUUGCUUCUCCUGUUGGCCCAGACCUUCUUCCAGGUUCCCUCUGCAGUGGUGUUCCACUCCUCAGCCCAUAGCACACUGCUCCCCUGCCUGUGGCUCAGCACUCCUUAGCUCCUUAGGCUGUUCCCACAUAGCUAACCCUAGUCCUCUCCCAAGGACUGACCUCUAGAGCCCAGCCCCCACCCAGGCAUCUCAAGCUGUGGUGUCCAAGGCAGUGGUGCAGAUGAUCUAUGUGGCUCUCACUCUGCUUUGCCCUCCUCAGUCCAGCUGCUGUGCUUUUCUUGGCAACUUUGAGGUCCCUCCAUCUCAGCUGAUAUGGUCAGUUAGGUGGCUUCCUAGGGUGUGGGUUCCUUUUCUCCUUCACAACUCUCUCUCAGGAAUGCUAGUCCAGUCCUGAUUCCUUUUCUUUCUUUCUCUCUCUCUCUCUCUUUCUCUCUCUCCCUCUUUUUUUCUUUUGUUCUACCCAGUUAUAUCAAGAGUUUCUUGUCCUUUUUGGAGGUUUAAGUUCUUCUGCCAGCAUCCAAUAGAUGUUCUAAUUGAGUUGUUUUACAUGUAGAUUUUUUUUUUUUUGAUGUGUUUGUUUGAGAAGGUGAGUGUGACGUCUUACUCCUCUGCCAUCUUGAUCCACCCACCAUGGCUUUUCAUUGGCUGAUUUUUGUCAGGAAGAAAGAAGAGUCUUUCUCUUUCUAUUUGGGCUCCGUUAUCAUUGCAGAGCAUGAGAGCUCCCCCUUCUGGUCUCCCAACUCUAUUUAAUUGAGGUUUCUGUUUAUUAUUUUUUUUUACAUUUCCUCCUUUUGAUCAAAUCUUUCUCAGAAAGUAUCACUGAUCAAGAGUCAGAUUUUCUAGUUUCAGCAGCUUUGUGUCCCUUAAUGUCUCUUAAUACUAUACCUAGGAAAUCUUUUCUUUUAAAUCCAGUCAGAGUGUGGUGCUUUCUUUAGGUUUGUCAUGUGAAUCCAAGAGUCUAUUUUUUGGAGUUUGCUGACCGAAGGGUUGUUUAGCAGUAUCUGAUAGGGCCUCUCCAGUAAGGUUAAAGAAAAUUCUUCUGGAGGUAUAUAUUCCAGUAGAUGAAAUCUCCAGGUUGAAAUGUGUGAAGCUUAAGGUCUUCAUCUCUGGAUAGUGAACUGUGAAGAGAUGGCUCUACCAAAAUAUGGUUAUUUUCAAUAGAAAAAAAAAUUAGCUUUGUAAUAAUGGAAUAUCUCUUCUUUUAUAAGUUGUAGGUCAAGAAAGGAGGAUCCAAGACCAUUGAGUGUCCUGCGACUAUCUCAUAGUGUGAGAGUUUAUGAGCUUCAAAGGGGGUGAAUCUGAGAUUUAGAAGGACCAAGAGUGAUGCUUUUGGUGAAGGUAUUUAGAGAACCUCUACCAACUUUGCCAACUAAGUCUUAACAAUGCCAUUAGUGUAUUCUACUAAACCAGAGGAUUGAGGGUAGUAAGCACAGUGAAAGUACUGUAAAACUGGCCAACAACACACACUUGUCAAAGUACCUGGCUAAUAAAAUGAAGUUCAAGGGAAAGUCCUCAUGUAGAGAUAAUCUUUUCUAAAAGGACUUUAGGCACAAAACAGGCAGUAGCCUGUCUGCAAGGAAGGCUUUGGUCCAGUUUGAGAACAUACAGACCAUAUAUAUAUGUGACUUAUGUGGAGAUGUAUAUAUGUGUGUGUGUGGAUUAUAAAAUCCAUUUGCCAGGCCCUCAAAUGGUCCAUUAGGCAGUUUAAAACAUCUGAGAGCAGUAAGCACAGCCUUUCCUGGGUUAUACUUCAGACAACUGGGACCGGUGAGGCAGCACUUUUGCAGCCUUGUUUUUAUUUCCCCACCAAUAUUGAUUCACAGUUUAGUGCAUGUACAGUGAAGGGUGAGGAUUUUAGGGCUGGGUUGUUAUUUGGUCUAAACCAUCACUUUCUCCUUUUAUCAAACCAACACCUGUUGAAUUUCCAAUCUUUUUCUUCCUUUUCUAAGGCUAAUUUUUGGGCUUUUCUAGCAAGUUUUUCUAAGUUAUCAUUUGGGCAAAUAUCACUUUGGGCCAUGAGAGAGAUUUGGUUGCUAUUAGUCCCUUUAAUGGCAGCAUUCUUUGCAGAAAUAUCAGCAAGUUAGUUUCCCAGAGAGUCAAGUUUAGAAUUCCCUGGAAUCUUAAUAACAGGUAAAGCAACAGGUAAUAUACUGCAUUCAAAAACUUAUAAAUAUAGGAGCCAUUUAAAUUUGUAUUUCAGCUGGAAGAAAGGAAGCCAUGUUGCUGCUACAACAUUCCAAUAUAACAAGAUACUCCAGAGGCAUAUGUACUACCAGUAUAAAUACUGCCAGUUUUGUCCUUGUUUAAAAGGCAAGUUCAUGUUAGAGUGUAUAAUUCAACCUAUUGGGCUGAAAUAGCCAUAUGUAAAGAUUCUGCCUCAACAACACCAAAAGUAGCAUACCCAGCACAAUAUUUGCCAUUGUCACCUUUUAAAUAGGAACUAUCAGCAAACCAUGAGAAGUCAGCAUUACCCAAAGGAAUUUCAUGUAAAUCAUCACAAGGAGUCAGGAGCUGGUCCAUCAGUGUUAAACAGUCCUGAGGGACUUUAUCAGUGAGAGAGAAGGGAAGAGUAGCAAGGUUUAAGGUUACUACCGUAUAAAGGUGUUGUGUGAAGAGUAGUAACAAAAGGACUUCCUAGGAGGUGAAAUGGCUGGCUGAUGAUGAGAAUGGAAUGUUGGAUGUGAGGAGAAUUCAGGAGAACUGCAUGAGGUGCAAAAAUUGGCUAAAGGAGAACCUACAAUCAUUUUCCAGUGACCUUAACCAAAAGGGCAGUGACCAUAAUGACUCUAAGGCAAGGGAUGUAUCCCCAUAUCCCCAUGGGGUCCAGUUGCUGCCUAUGGGCCAGUGGUGGUCCUUGUGCUUUUGGGUGAGUACUCCAAGGGCAAUCCUUUCUUUUUCAUAUACGAAAGGGAGAAAGGAAAUCUGAUCAUUGGGAUGCCUAAGGGCAGGUGGGUUCAUCAAACAUUCCCUUUAAGGCUUUAAAGGCAGUGUCAUCCUGGCCUUCCCAUAAAACUGGUUUGGGGUUGUUAUUGUUGAGUAAAACAAAGAGGUUUGGUCAUAAAAGAGAAUCCAAUUUCAGCAAUAACCAAUUAACCUGAGAAAAACCUUACUGUUGGUGUUUAGUUUUGGGAAACUUAGGACAUCAUGAAUGAAUCUAUGAAUCUGUGUCUCUAUGAAUCUAAAUAUAGCCCUUGUUCUAACAUCAGAUGCCCUAAAUAUUGAAUGUUGGUUUGGGUAUACUGCAAUUUUUCUUUGGUGAUCUUAUGUCUCUUUAAUGCUAUAAGCUUUAGCAAGUGGAUUCUGUGUUCCUAUGAGGAGGCUUUAGAAGGAGAGCAGAGAAGCAAAUCAUCUACAUACUGCAAGAAUGUAGAACCUCUAGGGAGCUUUAUAUUAUUCAGAUCAGUUUUCAGGACUUGCAAGAAAUAAGAAAGACUCUCAGAAAAAUCCUGAGGCAUUACUGUCCAGGUGAAUUAUUUUUCUUCCCAAGUGAGGGCCGAAAGGUAUUGGCAGAGCUCAUCAACUACAAUAUUUAAAAAUGCACUGCAUAGAUCAAUUACAGUAACAAAUUUACUUCCAGUGAAAACAGAUGUGAGUAAUGUAUGAGGGUUAGGAACAACAGAGUGUUGAUGGAUUAUAAUGUUUAUGGCUUGAAGAUCUGGACAAACCUCCACCUUCUGUCUUUAUUUUUUUUUCUCUAGUAAAUGAGGGUGUUAUUGGAGCUAGUACAGGGAUAAUGAGGUCUUGAGCCUGAAAAACAUCUAUUAUGGCCUUUAUGCCUUAAAGGGCUUUUUUACUUAUAGGGAAUUGACUAAUAUGGGGAAGAGGUUUUGAGUAGUCUGUUUGGAUCUUAAUGGGAGGUGCACUGUAAAUUUUGCUAAUAUCAGUUGGAGAUUUUGCCCCUAAAGAGGGUGGUAACUGAUUCAAUUGGGACAAAUAAUCAGUGUUUCCAGAAUCAGCUCUAAUACCAUCAGAGACAGAACAUUAAAUAUGACAGACAUUAAAUAUGUCAAAGGAUCAUUUAUUUCACCUGCUUGGUUACUUGACAACUAGUGUCAAAUUCUAGAUUUAUUUCCCCUUUUUGAAAAAAAUUCUGCUAUGAUACUUCUUUAAGAAGUCUUGGCCCGAUAAAUGGGUAGGAACAGAGGAACUUAGGAGAAAAGAGUGUAUAUUUCUCAAAGAGUCUAAACAAAAGGGAAUAUGUUCAGAGUCAAAAACCUCCUGAGGUUCAUCAGAGAUUUGCACUAUUUGAACAGUUAGCUUUCUUAGAUAGGAGCUGUUUUGUAGCAGUGGGGUUGAGAUGUCACUCCAGUGUCAGUUAGGGUUGGAAGUGAUUCAUCCCCAAUCUGGAGAAAUGUUUCCUCAAACUUAUUAAGAGGGGGAUUUGGAAGACCCCCUAUAGUUCCUCAGAGCCUGUCAUUGAGAACUGGAGGGUGCUUGAAAAGCUGGUUAGAGGACUGAAAGUGCCUAAAGCAUUUAAAUAUAUAACAGUCUCUUCUUCAAUGUCCUGGCUCUUUGCAAUAAUAUCGGAAACUCAUAGAGUUUUGGUUUCAUUUAGAGGCUUCAUUUGCUGGAAUUGAAGAUUAAGAAUUUUGGCAGCUUUCCUUUUUAGUGAUUCACCUAGAGUGGAAGAGAACUGGUUUGCCAGAUUCUCUAAAUAUAGAGUGGACAUAGUUUUCCAUUCCAUCUUGGCCUUUUUAGGAGAAGGGAAAUGUUCCCAGUUAAGCCCAUUGACAUAGAGUUAAAAGCUACCUGGGUGAAAUCAGCACCUGAAAGAAGACCAAAAUCCUCUUGAAAAUCAAUCUGAAGUUACUUAAAAUAGUCAUGAAUGGAUUCGCUAGUUUUUUGAGUGUAAGGCUGAAUUUUGUUCGAGUCAACAGGCUUUGGAAAAGCCCUAGGAAUUACCUGAUGAAGCCACCUAGCAGUCACUCGAGGACAGUCAUGUUAGUGCAGUGUUCUCUCAAUUGUUAUUCUAGAGAACUUUUGAAAUUUUCCCAAUUAGCAGUUUUUAAUUCAGUGCUGGAUUUGGCCUUCACCAACAAGCAUGUGAACUAGCUGAUAUAAGUAAGAGAAACCAGAUUGAUAAGUUUGAAUGACUAUAUUAAAUUCUUGAGUGAAUCUGUGAGGAUUUUCAGUUAUUUGGGGAUAGUCUUUGACUGUGGCUCUCAGUACAGCUUUAGUCCAGGGAAUGUAAGAAAUUAAGGAUUUAGACUCUGGAUUAUCAGAAGGCUGAAUUUUAAAGGAACAGUUCUGACAAAUUCAGAGAAAAAGGGAGUGGGGAGAAUUUCAGAGAAAAGAGAAAAGUUAACCAGGGAAUGAGUGUGAAGGAACUAAGAGUAUAGAGGAGGCCCAGCAGGGUUGAAGGGAAAUAGGGAUAGGGCACUAGAGGCAGACUCUGAGAUAACAAAGGCAAGGAAGAAGAGUCUGAGGCAUUGGAGUCAUUUUUCUUUUCUUUAAUCCUUUGUUUGCCUCAGCUAAUCUUAAAAUCUUAUGUUGCAAAGAGGCAAUUUUAGACUCCUGAUAAUGUCUGAAAGCCUCAAAAUACCAAUUGAAAUAAACAUGUCACUCAGUUCUGAAAUUUUUGAGCUAUUGUAGUUCAGUUCAGUUUUAAGGAAAUUAAGUUGGGGAUUUCAAAAGUUCCCCAUAAUGGCCAUUGAUAUUCUCAGUUGCCUGUGGUCAAGUCAGUCCAUUUAGUUAGACAUGUGCAUGAGGAAGAACAAAGAAUUUUAAACAUAAAAUCAGUCAGAGCCCCUGAUUGGGAUGAGAGGGUUCCCUCAAAUAUUUAAUUAAAUAUUUAAUUAUCCCAUUUUUCAGAGGCUUUUCUGUAAACUAGAAGAACCAUGUACAAACAGCUUAUAGUACAGUUUGCAAGCUAAUACCAGCCAGUUUUUUGUUUGUUUUGUUUUGUUUUUUAGGUCCACACCCAUGGCAUAUGGAAGUUCCCAGGCUAGGGGUCCAAUCAGAGCUAUAGCUGCCAGCCUACAUCACAGCCACAGCAACAUCAGAUCCAAGCUGCAUCUGCAACCUACACCACAGCUCAUGAAAUCACCAGAUCCCCAACCCACUGAAUGAGGCCAGGGAUCAACCCUGCAUCCUCAUGGACACUGGUUGGAUUCAUUUCCACUGCACUGCAGUGGGAACUCCAAUACCAGCCAGUUCUAAGGAGGCAGUUUGGUCUAAAAGAAGUCAAGCCAAAGGCUUUUCUCACCAGUUUCCAGAGAGCAGCAUCUAUUCCAAAGGAAGGAGGCAAGGGCUGAACUAGUGCAGUUUCACUGAAGCAGCCUAAAGGAAUUAGCAGAAGUAUGGAGUUAAGAGAUAAAAACUACUAUGUUUAAUAUAGAUAACCAAUGAAGGUAUAUUAUACAGCACAGGGAGUUACAGCCAUUAUCUUAUAAUAACUUUUAAUGGAGUAAAAUCUGUAAAAAUACUGAAUCAUUAUGCUGUAUACCUGAAA